UCCGCCUAUGUCUUACAUGGCCGGUCCCAAGCCCGGAUAAAGGAGGAGGGGGAGGGCGUCAGGUAGUCGACAGCCGGCACUCCAUGAUCACGUCGAAUCCUUAUGAAAAUGAAUCCAGAACAAAAUUGCGCUAAAGCUAGGGCGUCACCCGUAAGUGGCGCGCUGUGUGGCCCGAGCACAGUGAUAAGUGAGCAAGGGUCGCUGUAUCUCCAUUGGCACCCGGAUGCAGUGUUAAAUGAGCAAGGGGGCCAUAGAAACUUCUUUUCGAACGACUCCACUCAAAGUUGUUUGGGAGCAUAUGCUCCUAUCAACUUUACCCGGGACACACAAAAGAAGUACUUUGAUCCUAUUAGACGGGGGAGGGUGAAGAAGCUAGGACAGAAGGGUAGAGUUCAAGAGAGCAAAAUGCGUUUAGGAACGUGGAAUAUAGGAACCUUAACGGGAAAAUCUAUGGAAGUAGUGGAAGUUAUGGUGAGGAGAAGGAUAAAUAUUAUAUGCCUACAAGAAACUAAGUGGGUUGGUAGUAAGACAAAGGAUCUAGAAAACUUAGGGUUUAAACUUUGGUAUUCGGGCACAAAUAGAACGAGAAACGGUGUUGGCAUCAUCGUGGACAAGACCUUGGUACAAGAUGUUGUAGAUGUCAAGAGGGUAGGAGAUAGAAUCAUGGCAAUCAAGAUUGUAAUAGGACAAGAACUUAUCAAUGUGAUUAGUGCGUACGCACCUCAAGUAGGGUUGGAUACGAGUUCGAAGGAGAAAUUUUGGGAAGAUCUUGGAGACUUGGUGCAAGGAAUUGCUCAGACGGAGAAGUUAUUUAUAGGAGGAGAUUUAAAUGGACACGUGGGCAGGGAGACAGGCAACUAUGGAGGUUUUCAUGGUGGCCAUGGUUUUGGGGAGAGAAACGAGGAUGAGGAAGCUAUCUUGGAUUUUGCAAUGGCAUAUGAUCUCUUCUUAGCCAACACCUUCUUUAAGAAGAGAGAAGAACAUGUGAUCACCUACAAAAGUGGGUCGUCAAAAACACAAAUAGAUUUUCUUCUAAUGAGGAAAGGGGAUCGUAUAACUUGUAAGGAUUGCAAAGUUAUACCAGGAGAGAGCGUGGCUAAUCAACAUCGCUUGUUGGUGAUGGAUGUACAUAUCAAAAGAGUAAGACAAAAGAACAAGACUUGGAAGUGCCCAAGGACUAGAUGGUGGAAUCUAAAAGAAGAAAAACAAGUCAUUUUCAAAGAGAAGGUAAUCACCCAAUGUGUGUGGGAUAGAGAGGGGGAAGCUAGCCAAAUGUGGGAUUCCAUGGCUAGUUGUAUCCGAAAAGUAGCAAAAGAGGUAUUAGGAGAGUCCAAGGGCUUUGCCCCACACCAAAAGGAAUCUUGGUGGUGGAAUGAGGAGGUACAAACAAAGGUGAAGGCUAAGAAGGAAUGUUGUAAAGCCUUAUACAAGGAGAGGACCGAUGAAAAUGGUGAAAGGUAUAGAAAAGCGAAGCAAGAGGCGAAGAAAGCUGUUAGAGAAGCUAAGUUAGCGGCUUACGACGAUAUGUAUAAACGACUAGAUACCAAAGAAGGAGAGUUGGAUAUCUAUAAACUAUCUAGAGCAAGGGAAAAGAAGACAAGGGACCUAAACCAAGUGAGGUGCAUCAAGGAUGAGGAUGGAAAGGUUCUUGCUACAGAGAACGCGGUUAAAGACAGAUGGAGAGGUUAUUUUCAUAAUCUUUUCAAUGAUGGACAUGAAAUGAGUGCUUCUUUAGGGGAGUUGAGUAACUCAGAAGAGUGUAGAAACUACUCUUUUUAUCGUCGAAUUCGGAAGGAAGAAGUGGUUGUAGCUUUGAAGAAGAUGAAGCAUAAAAAAGCAAUAGGCCCAGACAAUAUACCAAUCGAAGUGUGGAAACUUUUGGGAGAGACAGGUAUAACAUGGCUCACUGACCUUUUCAAUAGGAUUUUGAAAACGAAGAAGAUGCCAAAUGAGUGGCGAACGAGCACUUUGGUGCCUAUCUACAAGAAUAAGGGCGACGUACAAAAUUGCAUGAACUAUAGGGGUAUUAAGCUAAUGAGUCAUACAAUGAAGCUCUGGGAGAGAGUCAUUGAGCAUAGAUUGAGGCAAGAGACACGGGUUUCGAACAACCAAUUCGGGUUCAUGCCAGGGCGCUCAACCAUGGAGGCAAUCUAUCUCUUACGAAGAUUGAUGGAAAGAUAUAGAGAUGGGAAAAAGGAUUUACACAUGGUCUUUAUAGAUUUGGAAAAAGCGUAUGAUAGGGUCCCAAGAGACAUUCUUUGGAGGAUUUUAGAGAAGAAAGGAGUACGAGUAGCAUAUAUCCAAGCUAUAAAGGAUAUGUAUGAAGGAGCAAAGACUGCCGUAAGAACUCAUGAAGGACAAACCGAAAGCUUUCCCAUAACUGUAGGAUUACAUCAAGGCUCAUCCUUAAGUCCUUACCUUUUUGCGUUGGUAAUGGAUGAGUUAACAGGACAUAUUCAAGAUGAUAUUCCUUGGUGUAUGCUUUUCGCAGACGAUAUAGUGUUGAUAGAUGAAACUCAGGAAGGGGUAAAUGCAAAGCUUAACCUUUGGAGAGAAGUGUUGGAAUCUAAAGGUCUUCGCCUAAGCCGAUCAAAGACAGAAAUAUAUGGAGUGCAAGUUCAGUGCAAAUGGAGGCCAAAACGAGUUAGGGGUGAGGAUCGGAGAUCAAGAAAUACCAAAGAGCGACCGUUUUCGUUACCUAGGAUCUAUCUUGCAAAAGAACGGAGAAUUAGAUGGAGAUCUCAACCAUAGAAUACAAGCUGGAUGGAUGAAGUGGAAGAGUGCAUCCGGCGUGUUGUGUGACCGCCGUAUGCCACUGAAGCUCAAGGGAAAAUUUUAUAGGACGGCAAUAAGGCCGGCGAUGCUGUAUGGCACAGAAUGUUGGGCGGUGAAACAUCAACACGUACACAAAAUGGGUGUAGCGGAGAUGAGGAUGCUUCGUUGGAUGUGUGGGCACACGAGAAAGGAUAAGAUUAGGAAUGAGGAUAUCCGGGGUAAAGUAGGAGUAGCCGAAAUUGAAGGAAAGAUGAGAGAAAAUCGGUUACGGUGGUUUGGACAUGUGCAAAGAAGGCCUACUGACGCUCCGAUUAGAGAAGAUGCGACUAUGGACAGAGGUUCAGGGCCGAAGGGGUAGAGGAAGACCUAGGAAAACUUUGGAAGAGACUCUAAGAAAAGACUUAGAGUACUUGGAUCUAACGAAGGACAUGACACAGGAUCGAGCACAAUGGCGUUCUAAGAUUCAUAUAGCCGAUCCCACUCAGUGACUUGGAUUUUCCAAGUCUCCAACCGAGAAGUUUUCCUCACUCGGGAAAUUAAGGGAACACUACCCCAACCUACAUGCUCCACUCAGAAAGCUUCAACAUACAAGCUUCAACAAAAGAAAAUUCAAAGAACUUAGCGAAGAAGGCUUUGGUGUAUUUAACACAAUACGUUGAAAUGAAGGAAAGCUUAUUUAUUGAUAUCCCCGAUAAGCUACAAAUAUGUACAUAUACGAGUCAAAAUAAACACACAAGAGGGAGCCUUCACAAAGGUUGCUUAGGAGAAGUCUCAGCAGUCGGUAGAGCCCCAAAAAGAGAAGGCACCGGAGGGGGAUCAUUUGGAGCCUCAGUACUGGACAGAACCCUAGAAUGAGGAGGCAUCAGAGGUUGAUCAUUCGGAGCUUCAUUACGCGGUACAGCCCCAGAAGACGAAGGCAAUAAAUGCCUUUGGAACAAACCCACAAAUCUCUGAUGAUCAAGUAAAACCUGACCAUCAGUUUCCUUUAUCUGGUCAAGCUUCCUCUUCAUGUUUGUAGCAUAGUCAUGUGCGAGCCGGUGCAACUGUUUAUUCUCAUGCUUGAGCCCUCUAAUCUCCUGUUUGAGACUCAUCACUUCAGCCGCCAAUGAUUCAACUUGGCGGGUUCGAGCAAAUAGGCGUUGGGCCAUAUUAGACACAGAACCUGCACACUGAACACUGAGAGCCAGCGAAUCCUUAACAGCUAACUCAUCAGACCGUUGGGAAAGUAGUCUGUUAUCUUUGGGAGUGAGAAGGUUCCUGGCCACCACCGCAGCGGUCAUAUCAUUCUUCAUCACGGAAUCCCCAACGGUAAGAGGACCAGUAGGGGAGACGAAGGAUGGGCGCCAUAUGUUGUCUGGAGAAGGCGGGGCUGCCUCUUCAACAAGGUUCAAGUCAAAACGACGGUCGGAGGGGCCAGACAUUUUCAAAGGUGUUGAAGAGAGAGAGAAGAGGUCGGACAAAUCAAGAUCUUAGAAGUGCAAGAAUGAAGCUUCUACUGGUGGAGAUUCAAGUGUGCUUUGGAACUUAAUGCCAGCCCCUAUAAAAAUCUGCACUCGACGGAGCUUCAGAAAUCGAAGAGGCGCCUGCUCAGAAAUCGAAGAGGCGUUUGCUUUCUCAAAAGCUGGGCUGCUUAGAAAUCACGAGGGUUGAUCUCAGAAAUCGAAGAGGCGUUUGCUUUCUCAAAAGUUGGGCUGCUUAAAGACCACGAAGGCCGAUCUCAGAAAUCGAAGAGGCGCUCGCUUUCUCAAAAGCUGGGCUUCCCAGAGACCACGAGGGCCGAUCUCAGAAAUCGAAGAGGCACCUACUUUUUCAGCCUUGUCAGCACCUGUCACACGCACACUCAGCUUUGCAGAAAUUAUUGGCAUUCUGUCGAAGACUUCUGGGGAAGUAGAAAGCACAUGAAUCUUACUGUUCAAUCACCCACUUCCCACACGCAACAAUAGCUCAUGGGUACCACAGAUAACUUUGCCCAAGUUCUCUGCCAAAGUUGAGCACGUGAAGCUUGCAGCUCCCACUACAUCGCUCUGACCAAGAAGGGUAAAAGAAUAGCAAAGAAACAGCACUAACAAAGUUUAGACCCAUAAAUUUUGAAGGUCUAGCUACCAUAUUAUUACCCACAAGGGUAAAGGAACAGUACCACUGCUGGAUAAUUGGAAAGUCCCUGUGUGUCAACCUCUGUGCUUCGUGGCAAGGUAGACUAGCAAACAUGCCCAACCUUUACUCACAUUCGAGAAAACACUCCCAAUAAGAUUGCUUGCUCCAAAAUCGAAGAGGCACCGUCCUCCGAAUCUCGAGAGCCAGACUCCCAACAUGACUACUUUCUUAAAUUCGAAGAGAGGGUAAAGGAACAGUACCAUUGCUGGAUAAUUGGAAAGUCCCUGUGUGUCAACCUCUGUGCUUCGUGGCAAGGUAGACUAGCAAACAUGCCCAACCUUUACUCACAUUCGAGAAAACACUCCCAACAAGAUUGCUUGCUCCAAAAUCGAAGAGGCACCGCCCUCCGAAUCUCGAGAGCCAGACUCCCAACAUGAUUACUUUCUCAAAAAUCGAAGAGACACUUCUCCCCGAAUCUUCGAGAGCUAGACCCCCAGCAUGAUUGCUUUCUCAAAAAUCGAUGAGGCAUCGUUUUCCAAAUCAAUCGAAGAGGCGCUCGCUUUCUCAAAAGCUGGGCUGCUCAGAGACCACGAGGGCCGAUCUCAGAAAUCGAAGAGGCACCUACUUUUCUAGCCUUGUCAGCACCUGUCACACGCACACUCAGCUUUACAGAAAUUAUGGGCAUUCUGUCGAAGACUUCUGGUGAAGUAGAAAGCACAUGAAUCUUACUGUUCAAUCACCCACUUCCCACACGCAACAAUAGCUCAUGGGUACCACAUAUAACUUUGCCAAAGUUCUCUGCCAAAGUUGAGCACGUGAAGCUUGCAGCUCCCACUACAUCGCUCUGACCAAGAAAGGUAAAAGAAUAGCAAAGAAACAGCACUAGCAAAGUUUAGACACAUAAAUUUUGAAGGUCUAGCUACCAUAUUAUUACCCACAAGGGUAAAGGAACAGUACCACUGCUGGAUAAUUGGAAAGUCCCUGUGUGUCAACCUCUGUGCUUCGUGGCAAGGUAGACUAGCAAACAUGCCCAACCUUUACUCACAUUCGAGAAAACACUCCCAACAAGAUUGCUUGCUCCAAAAUCGAAGAGGCACCGUCCUCCGAAUCUCGAGAGCCAGACUCCCAACAUGACUACUUUCUCAAAAGCGAAAAGAGGGUAAAGGAACAGUACCAUUGCUGGAUAAUUGGAAAGUCCAUGUGUGUCAACCUCUGUGCUUCGUGGCAAGGUAGACUAGCAAACAUGCCCAACCUUUACUCACAUUCGAGACAACACUCCCAACAGGAUUGCUUGCUCCAAAAUCGAAGAGGCACCGCCCUCCGAAUCUCGAGAGCCAGACUCCCAACAUGAUUACUUCCUCAAAAAUCGAAGAGACACUGCUCUCCGAAUCUCGAGAGCCAGACCCCCAGCAUGAUUGCUUUCUCAAAAAUCGAAUCGAAGAGGCAUCGUUCUCCAAAUCUCGAGAGCCAGAUACCACAGACCACUUUUUCAAAGUGCUCUGACAGAGUUAAAACAUGUGAAACUGGCAGCUCCCACUACCGUGCUAUGACCAAGCAGGGUAAAGGAAUAACAUUACUACUUGUUGUUAGGGAGACUCCUAUAUAUGUCGACCUCCAUCCCCAACGGACAGGCAGACCUGCAAAAAUGCUCAACCCUUCAUCAUAUCUGAGAGGGCACUCCCAACGAAGCCUUUCGAAAUAUUCAGCUUUCUUUCCCCCCGAUAAUACCUCUGCAAACAAGCUAUACUAGAGCAAGAAUAUCUCAUAUCAUCAGGGUUAAAAGCAAGAGUAUCCCAUAUCAUGCUUUUUCCCUGUCUUUUCCUUUGGCCUUGUUUUUACCUGCAAGACAAGGAGAAAGAGAGCAAUCAGUCAGCACUUGGAAUCAAGCUUCCAGCCAGGAACUGACUGCCUGGAACCCCUUACCUGAUUACUUACCUGGCAUUGCUCUCGAGUACUCAUCUUCAACAUCUUAUGUUUCCAGGGAAGAUUCCGCAUCUGCUUGAGGAACAGAUAGGGCAAGUGCGAAGGAUACAAGGAAGCAUGUGGAGACAAGCGUAACAGCACACGUGCCGAUACAUCCAUUACUCUGUCAAAAGCAAAAGUAUCCCAUAUCAGCAGGGUGGAACGUACUCUAGAUUUGAUGGACUUGUUUUGACCCUCAAAUUCUUCAGUCGGCCUUAUACUCUGGAGGAAACCAGAAAACCCUCCAGCUCAGUUCAAGAAUAAGCCUGUGGAAAGUUACUUCUUCAAAAGCAAAAGUAUCUCAUAUCAUCUCUUCUCAUUUUUCUUCUCUUUAUCCUUCAUGCUGCUGCAAGAUGGGGAGAAGGUGAACAAUCAGUCGGAGCUCUGAUUGCUUACCUUGUCUGUCACCUCUUUCAGCAGACCCCCUAGCUCGGCGACUUGGGGGACUCCUACUACAUGGUUUGUAUCGCGCUUGACCAAGCCUGAAACUACAAGUAAGCUUCAAGUGAAAUUGAUACAUUACCUUGUGCAUCUCCACCAGUUAAAGAUACCACCCCUGGAUGGAGGAAGAGUACUUCCAGAGAAGAUGCCACAUCUACCUAUGAGACAGAUAAGGCAAGUCAAGACGACACCACACUCCGAUAUUUAGAAGUUUCGUGAUUACGAGAUCAUUCUCCCACGAUAUUUCCUAAUGUCAUUUGUACUAAAUCAUUCACUUGUACUCACUAAAGGAGAGCUUGAACCUAUGUACUUGUGUAAACCCUUCACAAUUAAUGAGAACUCUUCUAUUCUGUGGACGUAGCCAAUCUGGGUGAACCACGUACAUCUUGUGUUUGCUUUCCUAUCUCUAUCCAUUUAUAUACUUAUCCACACUAAUGACCGGAGCAAUCUAGCGAAGAUCACAAAAAGCGACCGUUUUCGCUACCUAGGAUCUAUCUUGCAAGAGAACGGAGAAUUAGAUGGAGAUCUCAACCAUAGAAUACGAGCUGGAUGGAUGAAGUGUAAGAGUGCAUCCGGCGUGUUGUGUGACCGUCGUAGGCCACUGAAGCUCAAGGGAAAAUUUUAUAGGACGGCAAUAAGGCCAGCGAUGUUGUAUGGCACAGAAUGUUGGGCGGUGAAGCAUCAACACGUACACAAAAUGGGUGUAGCGGAGAUGAGGAUGCUUCGUGGGAUGUGUGGGCACACGAGAAAGGAUAAGAUUGGGAAUAAGGAUAUCUGAGGUAAAGUAGAAGUAGCCGAAAUUGUAGGAAAGAUGAGAGAAAAUCAGCUCCGGUGAUUUGGACAUGUGCAAAGAAGGCCGACUGACGCUCCGGUUCGAAGAUGUGACUACGGGACAGAGGUUCAGGGCCGAAGGGGUAGAGGAAGACCUAGGAAAACUUUGGAAGAGACUCUAAGAAAAGACUUAGAGUACUUGGAUCUAACGGAGGACAUGACACAAAACCGAGCGCAAUGGCGUUCUAGGAUUCAUAUAGCCGACCCCACUUAGUGGGAAAAGGCUUUGUUGUUGUUGUUGUUGUUGUUGUUGAUCUUUUUCAAUUCAUUCGAUACGACGGCCG
rnacentral:lncRNA from 1 species